rnacentral:rRNA from 1 species
AACGAACGCUGGCGGCGUGGAUAAGACAUGCAAGUCGAACGAGAGAAUUGCUAGCUUGCUAAUAAUUCUCUAGUGGCGCACGGGUGAGUAACACGUGAGUAACCUGCCCCCGAGAGCGGGAUAGCCCUGGGAAACUGGGAUUAAUACCGCAUAGUAUCGAAAGAUUAAAGCAGCAAUGCGCUUGGGGAUGGGCUCGCGGCCUAUUAGUUAGUUGGUGAGGUAACGGCUCACCAAGGCGAUGACGGGUAGCCGGUCUGAGAGGAUGUCCGGCCACACUGGAACUGAGACACGGUCCAGACACCUACGGGUGGCAGCAGUCGAGAAUCAUUCACAAUGGGGGAAACCCUGAUGGUGCGACGCCGCGUGGGGGAAUGAAGGUCUUCGGAUUGUAAACCCCUGUCAUGUGGGAGCAAAUUAAAAAGAUAGUACCACAAGAGGAAGAGACGGCUAACUCUGUGCCAGCAGCCGCGGUAAUACAGAGGUCUCAAGCGUUGUUCGGAAUCACUGGGCGUAAAGCGUGCGUAGGCUGUUUCGUAAGUCGUGUGUGAAAGGCGCGGGCUCAACCCGCGGACGGCACAUGAUACUGCGAGACUAGAGUAAUGGAGGGGGAACCGGAAUUCUCGGUGUAGCAGUGAAAUGCGUAGAUAUCGAGAGGAACACUCGUGGCGAAGGCGGGUUCCUGGACAUUAACUGACGCUGAGGCACGAAGGCCAGGGGAGCGAAAGGGAUUAGAUACCCCUGUAGUCCUGGCAGUAAACGGUGCACGCUUGGUGUGCGGGGAAUCGACCCCCUGCGUGCCGGAGCUAACGCGCUAAGCGUGCCGCCUGGGGAGUACGGUCGCAAGAUUAAAACUCAAAGAAAUUGACGGGGACCCGCACAAGCGGUGGAGUAUGUGGCUUAAUUCGAUGCAACGCGAAGAACCUUACCUGGGCUUGACAUGUAAUGAACAACAUGUGAAAGCAUGCGACUCUUCGGAGGCGUUACACAGGUGCUGCAUGGCCGUCGUCAGCUCGUGUCGUGAGAUGUUUGGUUAAGUCCAGCAACGAGCGCAACCCCUGUUGCCAGUUACCAGCACGUGAAGGUGGGGACUCUGGCGAGACUGCCCAGAUCAACUGGGAGGAAGGUGGGGACGACGUCAGGUCAGUAUGGCCCUUAUGCCCAGGGCUGCACACGUACUACAAUGCCCAGUACAGAGGGGGCCGAAGCCGCGAGGCGGAGGAAAUCCUAAAAACUGGGCCCAGUUCGGACUGUAGGCUGCAACCCGCCUACACGAAGCCGGAAUCGCUAGUAAUGGCGCAUCAGCUACGGCGCCGUGAAUACGUUCCCGGGUCU